rnacentral:snRNA from 1 species
GUGCUUGCUUUGACAGCACAUAUACUAAAAUCGGAACAGUACAGAGACUAGCAUGCCCCCUGCCCGAGGAUGCCAUGGAAACUCAUGAAGUGUUCCAUACAUAC